UUAAUAUGUUUUACAUCCACAUUUGUCCAUCGAGCCGUUUAUUACUUCAAUAAUAAUUGGUCCAUGAAAGGUUUCGUACUUGAUACAUUAACUGCAUUUUCAGUUGAUGGAUACACUGGUGAAAUGAAGGAGAAAUUACUGCGUCUGUACCCCAACGUAACUGUGUGUUACUUUUCCGGAUUAAAAAAUGAUUAUAACCAACCCAAUCCUUAUCAAAAAUCUGACAAAUUUUAUCAUUUGUUCGGUAUGAAAUUUUUUACGCUCGUUAUUUACGUGCACAUCGUUUAUUUGAUUAAUUCCCUCCUGAGUUCUGGUAUAUCAAAAAUGCCAUAUAUUGUUCAGCAAUACGAAGCUUACGACACCAUGUUAUUAAGAACUGAGAAUAUGGAGAAAAUAACUGGAGGGAAAA